rnacentral:rRNA from 1 species
AUUGAACGCUGGCGGCAUGCUUUACACAUGCAAGUCGAACGGUAACAGGCCGCAAGGUGCUGACGAGUGGCGAACGGGUGAGUAAUGCAUCGGAACGUGCCCAGUCGUGGGGGAUAACUACUCGAAAGAGUAGCUAAUACCGCAUACGAUCUAUGGAUUAAAACGGGGGACCGUAAGGCCUCGCGCGAUUUGAGCGGCCGAUGUCAGAUUAGGUAGUUGGUGGGGUAAAGGCUCACCAAGCCAACGAUCUGUAGCUGGUCUGAGAGGACGACCAGCCACACUGGAACUGAGACACGGCCCAGACUCCUACGGGAGGCAGCAGUGGGGAAUUUUGCACAAUGGGCGCAAGCCUGAUCCAGCAAUGCCGCGUGCAGGAAGAAGGCCUUCGGGUUGUAAACUGCUUUUGUACGGAAAGAAACGGCUCUGGUUAAUACCCGGGGCUAAUGACGGUACCGUAAGAAUAAGCACCGGCUAACUACGUG